ACAGCCACAUCAUGUUGAAACAUCGGUUCCUGUAUGAUCAUCAAAGUUAAGCAAUGUUGAGCCUGGUCAGUACCUAGAUGGGUAACUGCUUGGGAAUGC